rnacentral:rRNA from 1 species
UUGAACGCUGGCGGAAUGCUUUACACAUGCAAGUCGAGCGGCAGCGCGGGGCAACCUGGCGGCGAGCGGCGAACGGGUGAGUAAUGUAUCGGAACGUACCCCGUCGUGGGGGAUAACACAGCGAAAGCUGUGCUAAUACCGCAUACGACCUGAGGGUGAAAGCGGGGGAUCGCAAGACCUCGCGCGUUUGGAGCGGCCGAUAUCUGAUUAGCUAGAUGUUGGGGUAAAGGCCCACCAUGGCGACGAUCAGUAGCUGGUCUGAGAGGAUGAUCAGCCACACUGGAACUGAGACACGGUCCAGACUCCUACGGGAGGCAGCAGUGGGGAAUUUUGGACAAUGGGGGAAACCCUGAUCCAGCCAUUCCGCGUGAGUGAAGAAGGCCUUCGGGUUGUAAAGCUCUUUCGGCAGGAACGAAACGGCGGAAUCUAAUACAUUCCACUAAUGACGGUACCUGAAGAAGAAGCACCGGCUAACUACGU